GCUGCUCGAAUAAUAUCACACACCUCUCCGUGGUGGGCAGCAGGCAACGAUCUAUUAUGAUCGGCGAAGAUGUGAGA
rnacentral:ribozyme from 1 species